rnacentral:lncRNA from 1 species
AUGAAAUUUGAAAAGACUAUUAAAUAUUCAAUAAUAUUAAAAGGCAAUUACAACUCCUAACAUUCUGUUUGCUUUAGGCAAGGUAAUGUCUGUAACAAGCUAAGGAGCAAAUUAAAACGCCAGGGUCCUUGUGUUUUAAAACAACACGGUUCUAAACUCUCCUCAUCAUACUAACAGUAUUUAAAAGAUUAUACACUGCCUGUUGUAAGUCACUCGGACAGCUAAUCAUUGGAAAUAAGUGAAUUAAGAAUCAGUAUUAAAAUACACUGGCUUGUUUUUCAGGUAGAGCACAGCGAGUAGACUGGAGAAAGCUGUGACCAAGAUGAACUGCAGAAAAGGAAGUUUUUUCUAGUAACAACACCCGUCCCUAAAUAAGCAACCUCUUCAGUCUAGUCUAGUAACACAACUCUGAUCAUCUCAAUCAUCUGCUGAUAGCCAUGGAAUGACAGUUAACGGGGGUUGGUGCAAGCACUUUGAUGCCUGCUGACCCUCCUCUAGUGAGCAUGUUGUAUGCCCAAGAGAAGGCUCUCCAUGGCCCUAAAAUACCACUCAGAUAUUUUUCUUAUCAAACACCCAUCUGAGUUUGAGCAUAUCUUUUUAUUCUAUUUUUUUUAGCACAUGUCUGUAGCAGCCAGAGAGUUUAAGAAUACCUUGAGAUGAAGUAUAGACAUCCCUCUAAAAGGCUAUGACUACAAGUCAUUUGCACUUAGUAUGAAUUAAUUUAUUCAGAUAAUCUUACUUCCUUUUUCCACUUAGCUGAGAUUUUAGGAAUAGAAAUUUUGCAUAGAGUAGGUACAGAAAGGGGAGAUAACAGUGAUGAACAUUUAAAAAGCCUAGAAAGAAGCCUGUAAUCCCAGCACUUUGGGUGGCCGAAGUGGGUGGAUCUCUUGAGGUCACGAGUUAGAAACUAGCCUGGCCAACAUGGCGAAACCCCAUCUCUACUGGCCAGCUGCAGUGGCUCACGCCCGUAAUCCAAGGACUUUGUGGGGCCGAGGCAGGCGGGUCACCUGAGGUCAGGAGAGAGGAGAAAAUGCAGUAUAACAAAAAGGGAGUUAGAAUGUAUAAGAACGUUUCAUUUUCCAUAAAGUUUCGAGUCAGGCCCAACAUUCUCUGAAGUAUGAAAUACAGAAAGUACAACGAGGAGGAAAAAUUCUAAGAGAACUGUACUUUAAGCCUGGCUGCUUCAUUUACUGCUCUCCAUCUACAGGCAAUGAAUAAAUGUAUCCACCCCUAAAGGUAUUCUAAUCGUAAUAAUAAAAGCUACCCAGAAUGUCAAAGGGAAUUUUCAUAUCACAUAUACAUUGUAAAAUUAAGUUUUUUCAAUGUAUUAAAAGACUGAAAAGAAAUAUACCAAAAUAUUGAUUUUUUUCUUUAAAUGAUAUGAAUUGGGGUGAUUUCCCCCUCCUUUUAUUUUUUCCAUUUUUCAGUUUUAUGUAACAAGAUUAUUUUACUUCCACGAUCAAAUAAACAUAAACAUUAAUGAAAAGGAAAUAUGUAUUAUUUAACAGCCUUAAAUUGUGUCUGG